GAAUAAGCACCGGCUAACUACGUGCCAGCAGCCGCGGUAAUACGUAGGGUCCGAGCGUUGUCCGGAAUUAUUGGGCGUAAAGGGCUCGUAGGCGGUUCGUCACGUCGGGAGUGAAAACUCGGAGCUUAACUCCGAGCCUGCUUCCGAUACGGGCAGACUAGAGGUAGGCAGGGGAGAGCGGAACUCCUGGUGUAGCGGUGGAAUGCGCAGAUAUCAGGAAGAACACCGGUGGCGAAGGCGGCUCUCUGGGCCUUACCUGACGCUGAGGAGCGAAAGCGUGGGUAGCGAACAGGAUUAGAUACCCUGGUAGUCCACGCCGUAAACGUUGGGCGCUAGGUGUGGGGGACAUUCCACGUCCUCCGUGCCGCAGCUAACGCAUUAAGCGCCCCGCCUGGGGAGUACGGCCGCAAGGCUAAAACUCAAAGGAAUUGACGGGGGCCCGCACAAGCGGCGGAGCAUGUGGAUUAAUUCGAUGCAACGCGAAGAACCUUACCUGGGUUUGACAUGGAUCGGGAGUGCUCAGAGAUGGGUGUGCCUCUUUUGGGGUCGGUUCACAGGUGGUGCAUGGCUGUCGUCAGCUCGUGUCGUG
rnacentral:rRNA from 1 species